rnacentral:rRNA from 1 species
UCCUACGGGGAGCAGCAGUAGGGAAUCUUCCGCAAUGGACGAAAGUCUGACGGAGCAACGCCGCGUGAGUGAUGAAGGUUUUCGGAUCGUAAAGCUCUGUUGUUAGGGAAGAACAAGUGCGAGAGUAACUGCUCGCACCUUGACGGUACCUAACCAGAAAGCCACGGCUAACUACGUGCCAGCAGCCGCGGUAAUACGUAGGUGGCAAGCGUUGUCCGGAAUUAUUGGGCGUAAAGGGCUCGCAGGCGGUUUCUUAAGUCUGAUGUGAAAGCCCCCGGCUCAACCGGGGAGGGUCAUUGGAAACUGGGAAACUUGAGUGCAGAAGAGGAGAGUGGAAUUCCACGUGUAGCGGUGAAAUGCGUAGAGAUGUGGAGGAACACCAGUGGCGAAGGCGACUCUCUGGUCUGUAACUGACGCUGAGGAGCGAAAGCGUGGGGAGCGAACAGGAUUAGAUACCCUGGUAGUCCACGCCGUAAACGAUGAGUGCUAAGUGUUAGGGGGUUUCCGCCCCUUAGUGCUGCAGCUAACGCAUUAAGCACUCCGCCUGCCAGACUUUAAAGGUUU